AUUGAACGCUGGCGGCAGGCCUAACACAUGCAAGUCGAACGAGUGGCGGACGGGUGAGUAAUGUCUGGGAAACUGCCUGAUGGAGGGGGAUCACUCCUGGAAACGGUAGCUAAUACCGCAUACCAUCGGAUGUGCCCAGAUGGGAUUAGCUAGUAGGUUGGGUAACGGCUCACCUAGGCGACGAUCCCUAGCUGGUCUGAGAGGAUGACCAGCCACACUGGAACGUAGACACGGUCCAGACUCCUACGGUAGGCAGCAGUGGGGAAUAUUUCAAAAUGGGCGCAAGCCUGAUGCAGCCAUGCCGCGUGUAUGAAGAAGGCCUUCGGGGUGUAAAGUACUUUCAGCGGGGAGGCGUUACCCGGAGGAGAAGCACCGGGUAACUCCGUGUCAACAGGCGCGGUAAUUC
rnacentral:rRNA from 1 species